AACAGGAAAUUUUGAUACCCUGGUAGUCCACCCCGUAAACGUUGGGAACUAGUUGUGGGGUCCAUUCCACGGAUUCCGUGACGCAGCUAACGCAUUAAGUUCCCCGCCUGGGGAGUACGGCCGCAAGGCUAAAACUCAAAGGAAUUGACGGGGACCCGCACAAGCGGCGGAGCAUGCGGAUUAAUUCGAUGCAACGCGAAGAACCUUACCAAGGCUUGACAUAUACGAGAACGGGCCAGAAAUGGUCAACUCUUUGGACACUCGUAAACAGGUGGUGCAUGGUUGUCGUCAGCUCGUGUCGUGAGAUGUUGGGUUAAGUCCCGCAACGAGCGCAACCCUCGUUCUAUGUUGCCAGCACGUAAUGGUGGGAACUCAUGGGAUACUGCCGGGGUCAACUCGGAGGAAGGUGGGGAUGACGUCAAAUCAUCAUGCCCCUUAUGUCUUGGGCUUCACGCAUGCUACAAUGGCCGGUACAAAGGGCUGCAAUACCGCGAGGUGGAGCGAAUCCCAAAAAGCCGGUCCCAGUUCGGAUUGAGGUCUGCAACUCGACCUCAUGAAGUCGGAGUCGCUAGUAAUCGCAGAUCAGCAACGCUGCGGUGAAUACGUUCCCGGGUCUUGUACACACCGCCCGUCAAGUCAUGAAAGUCGGUAACACCUGAAGCCGGUGGCCUAACCCUUGUGGAGGGAGCCGUCGAAGGUGGGAUCGGUAAUUAGGACUAAGUCGUACCAAAGGUAAC
rnacentral:rRNA from 1 species